rnacentral:tRNA from 1 species
ACCUAGUUGGCUCAGUUGGUAGAGCAUGUGACCCUUGAUCUCCGGGUUGUGAGUUUGAACCUCACAUUGAGUG